GCUUUGGUAGCUUAGUUAGUAGAGCCAUUGCUCGGCAAGCGGAAGGUCCCGGGUUCGAUUCCCGGCCCAAGCU
rfam:Harpegnathos saltator strain R22 G/1 HarSal_1.0_2.contig8071, whole genome shotgun sequence.